rnacentral:rRNA from 1 species
GACGGAAAGACCCCGUGAACCUUUACUAUAGCUUGACACUGAACAUUGAGCCUUGAUGUGUAGGAUAGGUGGGAGGCUUUGAAGUGUGGACGCCAGUCUGCAUGGAGCCGACCUUGAAAUACCACCCUUUAAUGUUUGAUGUUCUAACGUGGACCCGUGAUCCGGGUUGCGGACAGUGUCUGGUGGGUAGUUUGACUGGGGCGGUCUCCUCCUAAAGAGUAACGGAGGAGCACGAAGGUUGGCUAAUCCUGGUCGGACAUCAGGAGGUUAGUGCAAUGGCAUAAGCCAGCUUGACUGCGAGCGUGACGGCGCGAGCAGGUGCGAAAGCAGGUCAUAGUGAUCCGGUGGUUCUGAAUGGAAGGGCCAUCGCUCAACGGAUAAAAGGUACUCCGGGGAUAACAGGCUGAUACCGCCCAAGAGUUCAUAUCGACGGCGGUGUUUGGCACCUCGAUGUCGGCUCAUCACAUCCUGGGGCUGAAGUAGGUCCCAAGGGUAUGGCUGUUCGCCAUUUAAAGUGGUACGCGAGCUGGGUUUAGAACGUCGUGAGACAGUUCGGUCCCUAUCUGCCGUGGGCGCUGGAGAACUGAGGGGGGCUGCUCCUAGUACGAGAGGACCGGAGUGGACGCAUCACUGGUGUUCGGGUUGUCAUGCCAAUGGCACU